rnacentral:rRNA from 1 species
GUCGCAAGCAGGACUCGGUCCUAGUUUGAGAGGUUUUCUUUCAACUAACCGAACGUGAAGUCGAGGUCGUGGUUUCAUGACACUCGGAGUCGAAAAGCAUAACAGAUCGAAGCCGGCGAUAGCCGAGCGCUGCGAAGCACAGGGCGACGCCGCCGUUGUCGGAGGAGCGCCCGGAGAGUCGCGCAAAGCGGCUAUUCGUUCGCUGGAGUCGAAAAGAAUACUGCGAACACAAAACAAAUCAAAAGUUCCUUGAAAUCUUAACCACAACGUGUGAAAAUAAUAAUAUGAGUGGUAAGUAAAGCGACAGUUAUACAAAAAAUAAAAAUAGUCGCUGCAAAUAAUUAUAUGAACUAUACAUACAUUUUCAGUUAUCAAAAAUUGUUUUUUUUUACUUUUCCGUAAAACCGAUCUGCUACGGAAGAGUUAAGAUAAAAUCGAUUUGCCUAGGAAUGUUUUAUAUAACCAGCUAAUGUUAAUUACGGCGUCGGGGACCCUACGGUUCUUUAGGCGUUUGCUCACUCCACUAUUUCAAUU